rnacentral:siRNA from 1 species
UGAACUUGGUUGAUGGCACC